GCUCGGGUAGCUCAGUCGGUAGAGCAGGGGACUGAAAAUCCCCGUGUCGGCGGUUCAAUUCCGUCCCCGAGCACCA
rnacentral:tRNA from 2 species